rnacentral:rRNA from 1 species
CCAGCAGCCGCGGUAAUACGUAGGGUGCAAGCGUUAUCCGGAAUUAUUGGGCGUAAAGGGCUCGUAGGCGGCUCGUCGCGUCCGGUGUGAAAGUCCAUCGCUUAACGGUGGAUCUGCGCCGGGUACGGGCGGGCUGGAGUGCGGUAGGGGAGACUGGAAUUCCCGGUGUAACGGUGGAAUGUGUAGAUAUCGGGAAGAACACCAAUGGCGAAGGCAGGUCUCUGGGCCGUUACUGACGCUGAGGAGCGAAAGCGUGGGGAGCGAACAGGAUUAGAUACCCUGGUAGUCCACGCCGUAAACGGUGGAUGCUGGAUGUGGGGCCCGUUCCACGGGUUCCGUGUCGGAGCUAACGCGUUAAGCAUCCCGCCUGGGGAGUACGGCCGCAAGGCUAAAACUCAAAGAAAUUGACGGGGGCCCGCACAAGCGGCGGAGCAUGCGGAUUAAUUCGAUGCAACGCGAAGAACCUUACCUGGGCUUGACAUGUUCCCGACCGUUCCAGAGAUGGGGCUUCCCUUCGGGGCGGGUUCACAGGUGGUGCAUGGUCGUCGUCAGCUCGUGUCGUGAGAUGUUGGGUUAAGUCCCGCAACGAGCGCAACCCUCGCCGCAUGUUGCCAGCGGGUGAUGCCGGGAACUCAUGUGGGACCGCCGGGGUCAACUCGGAGGAAGGUGGGGAUGACGUCAGAUCAUCAUGCCCCUUACGUCCAGGGCUUCACGCAUGCUACAAUGGCCGGUACAACGGGAUGCGACACGGCGACGUGGAGCGGAUCCCUGAAAACCGGUCUCAGUUCGGAUCGCAGUCUGCAACUCGACUGCGUGAAGGCGGAGUCGCUAGUAAUCGCGAAUCAGCAACGUCGCGGUGAAUGCGUUCCCGGGCCUUGUACACACCGCCCGUCAAGUCAUGAAAGUGGGCAGCACCCGAAGCCGGUGGCCUAACCCCUUGUGGGAUGGAGCCGUCUAAGGUGAGGCUCGUGAUUGGGACUAAGUCGUAACAAGGUAGCCGUACCGGAAGGUGCG